rnacentral:lncRNA from 1 species
CAACAACAAAUAUAAGAGUGAAAUUAAGGAAUAAGUAAAACUAUGUAAGAAUUAAAAUGAUGCAAGACAAGUAAGAAGGCUAGCAAAUGUACAAUACAAACAAAGCAAUUCUAUAGUGGUUCAGUAUAAUCCCAUACCUACAUCUAUUUUUCAAGCUUUUCUUGAGAAUUUCACUAUAAUCAAUCAAAUUAUAAUAUGUUUAUUUUACCCA